rnacentral:lncRNA from 1 species
UCUCGGGAGUUGUGCCUCAAGGGCAGCACAAACGAAGACCUCAGAUGGGAAAGCACUUUAUUAGGCUGGACUUCCAGCCUCGGCCACGGGAGCCCUGCCGGGUGUUGUAGUCCCUGGGGCGGGCUCCAGGGGCACGGGGGGCUGUGCCGGCACGCCCUCUGUGAGCUCUGUCGCUUCGCUUGGUGCCCCUUCAUCCAGAGCGCCAGCCUCCACCUCGUCUUGUUCCUUUUCCUCCUCUGGGUUGUCAGUGAAAGGAUUCUCGCCCUGUAGAGAUGGAUAGAGACUUUAAUGGGAGGUAUUGGAUCAGAGUUAAGACAGUGAACCAAACAGCCCCUAAACAAGACACUUUCUUGGCACCACCAUGGUAGACCCUAAGGAAACGGCUGGUCACGGUCAGAUCAAGACGAUGAUAUGGACUGAUAAAGUUCUUAGUGCUUGCUUCUGUUCAUCUUUCCUGUUAGAAACUAAGACCACGGGGCUGGUGAGAUGGCUCAGUGGGUAAGAGCACUGACUGCUUUUCCAAAGGUCCUGAG